rnacentral:rRNA from 1 species
UACGUAGGGCGCAAGCGUUGUCCGGAAUUAUUGGGCGUAAAGAGCUCGUAGGCGGUUUGUCGCGUCUGCUGUGAAAUCCCGAGGCUCAACCUCGGGCUUGCAGUGGGUACGGGCAGACUAGAGUGCGGUAGGGGAGACUGGAAUUCCUGGUGUAGCGGUGGAAUGCGCAGAUAUCAGGAAGAACACCCGUGGCGAAGGCGGCUCUCUGGAACGCAACUGACGCUGAGACGCGAAAGCGUGGGGAGCAAACAGG